UGACCAAGCCAAUCAUCCAUACAUCAGCGUCCAUGGAGAUAUGCUCCACCCACUCUGUUCAGGUUCGGAAGUGUUGUGUUUGAGAUCACGUCAGGCAGAUAGAGAAGGUGGAGCUGGUCCUCCAGGACCUCCUUCAGCUGCAAUAUGAGGGCCUGGCAAUCAUGAAGAUGUUUGGAAGGGCCAAAGUGAACGUUAAUCUGCUCAUCUUCCUAUAAACAAAAAUCGACAGAGCGUUAAAUUGGAUUUCCACUACAUUCAUUGACAGUUUUAUACGUACAGUGCAUGUGCUCUCUGUGACACUGUAGAAUUUAAACCAUCAUUAUUACUGUGCUAUAUUGACCAAUUCCAACUGAUUUGUUUUUAGGUAAUUGUUAUGUAAUGUGCCGACAUAUUUCUAGUCUUCUGUACACUAACUGUUUUGUAAA